CAAUAGCGUAUAUUUAAGUUGUUGCAGUUAAAAAGCUCGUAGUCGGAUUUUGGCUGAGAACGAUCGGUCCGCCGUUAGGUGUGCACUGAUUGGUCUCAGCUUCCUGGUGAGGAGGUGUGCUUCACGGCCACUUAGUCACCGUGGUUACUUUGAAAAAAUUAGAGUGUUCAGAGCGGGCUUACGCUUGAAUAUAUUAGCAUGGAAUAACACCAUAGGACUCCUGUCCUAUUUCGUUGGUCUCGGGACGGGAGUAAUGAUUAAGAGGAACAGUUGGGGGCAUUCGUAUUUCAUUGUCAGAGGUGAAAUUCUUGGAUUUAUGAAAGACGAACUUCUGCGAAAGCAUUUGCCAAGGAUGUUUUCAUUGA
rnacentral:rRNA from 1 species